AUUUAAACAACUGUUUGUGUGUGAAGGACAGUUGCCCAUUAUGGUCGCUAGAUGGUGCUGCAACCUCAUUUUUUCUUUUGGUUUGUAUUGUUUUGGAGUUCAGUAAUUAGGACUGUUGGUCCUUAGAGGCCACCGUAGUAGCGCAGCAGCUAGAACGCGCAAAAACG